GACGAACGCUGGCGGCGUGCUUAACACAUGCAAGUCGAACGGUGAAGCGCCUUCCUUUUUGGUGGGUGUGGAUGAGUGGCGAACGGGUGAGUAACACGUGAGUAACCUGCCCCCUUCUUCUGGAUAACCGCAUGAAAGUGUGGCUAAUACGGGAUAUUCUGGGUCUGUCGCAUGAUGGGUCUGGGAAAGAUAUUGUUUCGGUGGGGGAUGGGCUCGCGGCCUAUCAGCUUGUUGGUGGGGUGAUGGCCUACCAAGGCGGUGACGGGUAGCCGGCAUGAGAGGGUGGACGGUCACACUGGGACUGAGACACGGCCCAGACUCCUACGGGAGGCAGCAGUGGGGAAUAUUGCACAAUGGGCGCAAGCCUGAUGCAGCGACGCCGCGUGAGGGAUGGAGGCCUUCGGGUUGUGAACCUCUUUCGCCAGUGAAGCAGGCCUGCCUCGUUUGUGGGUGGGUUGACGGUAGCUGGAUAAGAAGCGCCGGCUAACUACGUG
rnacentral:rRNA from 1 species